GUAAGAGGGGUAUAUUUGUCAAUAUUUGAAAAGAACUUCGUAAGAGGGGUAUAUCUUUCAAAAUCAGAAAACAACACCAAAAAAGUAGUAUGUUUUUUAAUAUGGGAAAACAACCCCGUAAGAGGGGUAUAUUGGUCAAUAUUAGAAAACAGCCUCGUAAUAUUUUUAAAUAUUUGAAAACAACCCCGUAAGAGAGGUAUAUCUUUGAAAAUGAGAAAACAACCCUAAAAAAGUGGAAUAUUUUUUAAUAUGAGAAAACAACCCCGUAACAGGGGUAUAUAGGUCGAUAUUAGAAAACAACCCAAUAAGUGGGGUAUAUUUUUUAGAAUGAGAAGACAACCGCAAAAAAAUGAUAUAUUUUUUAAUAUGAGAAAGCAACCGCGUAAGAAGAAUAUAUUUGUCAAUAUUAGAAAAUAACCCAGUAAGAGGGGUAUAUUUAUCAAUAUUUGAAAACAACCUAGUAAGAGCGGUAUAUCUUUCAAAAUAAGAAAACAACGCCAAAAAAGUGGUAUAUUUUUUAAUAUGAGAAAAC
rnacentral:lncRNA from 1 species